AUCCAGCUGAUGAGUCCCAAAUAGGACGAAGCGAGGCACGUCCUGAAU
rnacentral:hammerhead_ribozyme from 1 species